rnacentral:rRNA from 1 species
CACGUAGGGCGCGAGCGUUGUCCGGAAUUAUUGGGCGUAAAGAGCUCGUAGGCGGCCUGUUGCGUCCGCUGUGAAAGCCCGGGGCUUAACCCCGGGUCGGCAGUGGAUACGGGCAGGCUAGAGGUAGGUAGGGGAGAAUGGAAUUCCCGGUGUAGCGGUGAAAUGCGCAGAUAUCGGGAGGAACACCGAUGGCGAAGGCAGGUCUCUGGGCCACUACUGACGCUGAGAAGCGAAAGCAUGGGGAGCAAACAGG